GACGAACGCUGGCGGCGUGCUUAACACAUGCAAGUCGAACGAAGUGGCGCACGGGUGAGUAAUACGUGGGGAAACUGCCCUCCUUUUUGGGAUAAGCCUUGGAAAAGGGGGAUAAUACCGAAUAAAGGGGGAUUGGCUCGCGGCCUAUCAGCUUGGUGGGGGGGGGAUGGCCUACCAAGGCGGUGACGGGUUGCCGGACUGGGAGGGUGCACGGCAACAGUGGGACUGAGAUGCGGCCCAGACUCGUACGGGAGGCAGCAGUGGGGGAUAUUGCACAAUGGGCGAAAGCCUGAUGCAGCGACGCUGCGUGGGGGAUGAAGGCUUUCGGGUUGUAAACCUCGUUCGCUAGCGAACGGGUAGGUGGAGAAGAAGCGCCGGCUAACUACGUGCCAGCAGCCGCGGUAAUAC
rnacentral:rRNA from 1 species